rnacentral:rRNA from 1 species
UACGUAGGGACCAAGCGUUGUUCGGAUUUACUGGGCGUAAAGGGCGCGUAGGCGGCGUGACAAGUCACUUGUGAAAUCUCUGGGCUUAACCCAGAACGGCCAAGUGAAACUGUUGUGCUAGAGUGCGGAAGGGGCAAUCGGAAUUCUCGGUGUAGCGGUGAAAUGCGUAGAUAUCGGGAGGAACAUCAGUGGCGAAGGCGGCCCUCUGGACCAGCACUGA